UAAAGCCACCCUACAGGGGGGAUGAGAACACCCGACCGGGGUUCGACUACUGGCGCAGCCAGUUGGACAGACGACGAGCCUGCGAGGAGACUGCCCGAAGGGCGAGCGCAGCGAGUCAAUCCCCCCCUCACCGCCA
rnacentral:sRNA from 1 species